GACGAAGGUGGCGAGCGUUGUUCGAAAUCACUGGGCUUAAAGGGCGCGUAGGCGGAUCGGCGCGUGUCUUGUGAAAUCCCCCGGCUUAACCGGGGAAUAGCUUGGCAAACGGCUGGUCUUGAGGCAAGCAGGGGUGCGUGGAACUCUUGGUGGAGCGGUGGAAUGCGUAGAUAUCAAGAGGAACGCCGAAGGUGAAGACAGCGCACUGGGCUUGCCCUGACGCUGAGGCGCGAAAGCGUGGGGAGCAAACAGGAUUAGAUACCCUGGUAGUCCACGCUGUAAACGAUGCCUACUAGGUUGUGGGGGUUCUGACGCCUUCACAGUCGUAGCAAAAGUGUUAAGUAGGCCGCCUGGGGAGUACGGUCGCAAGGCUAAA
rnacentral:rRNA from 1 species